UGCAGGUUGCAAUGUUUUAUCUUUGA
rnacentral:piRNA from 1 species